GGAAUCUUGGACAAUGGGGGCAACCCUGAUCCAGCGACGCCGCGUGGGUGAUGAAGGCCUUCGGGCUGUAAAGCCCUUUCACCGGGGACGAUGAUGACGGUACCCGGAGAAGAAGCACCGGCUAACUCCGUGCCAGCAGCCGCGGUAAUACGGAGGGUGCAAGCGUUAAUCGGAAUUACUGGGCGUAAAGCGCACGUAGGCGGUUUGUUAAGCCAGCUGUGAAAUCCCCGGGCUCAACCUGGGAAUUGCAGUUGGAACUGGCAAGCUAGAGUAUGGUAGAGGGGUGUGGAGUUUCAGGUGUAGCGGUGAAAUGCGUAGAUAUCUGAAGGAACAUCAGUGGCGAAGGCGACACCCUGGAUCAAUACUGACGCUGAGGUGCGAAAGCGUGGGGAGCAAAC
rnacentral:rRNA from 1 species